GGCUGUACUGGUGCCCCAUUAUGGCACCUCCACCCCAGCAGGAGAAGGGCUGGAGGCAAACAACACAUUCCUCCUCUUCCCCAUCACAUCCCUCUCUCUUCCCUGCAAAGCAGCAGAGCAGAAUUGGCUGCCUUAUCUGCAGCUGUUGGGUCCCAGCAGAGACAUGUGCUCGAAAAAGGAGUGCUCUGUGUUAAAAAGUAAUUCUGCAAGACGGAGAAGGUUCCCAGGAUUAAAGCUCCCAGUCACUAUGGAAAAUACCUCUUACAUAAAUGUUAUCUGCUUUGUGGAGAAAAAAAACCCCAAAAGAUCAUAAAGUUUCAGCAAAUCUAUGCCAGCCUUAAUGGAAAGAUGGAUGGCAUUUUCAGCUCUGUUUGUGCUCUCCCAUGCAAGACCAGCACUGGAAAAUACCCAGUGGUACCGCUGGCACGGGAUGCUGUCCUCUAGCCAGGACAAAGGUGUAGAUGGAGGAUCGAUAAGAAUUGAUGCCCUGUUUCUUCUCACUGAGCUUCCACGUUCAGAAGUGUUCUCCAGGGACUCCAGAGAAGUACAACCCAUGGCUGGAGGCUGGAGUGGGAGCAGCGGGCUAAGAGAAAAUGAUGGCCAGCUCCCACCAAGUUUGGCUCACGAAAAUUGUCCACAAUUAACGAACAAGAUCGUGUCUCCAUUUUACCACUGCUAA
rnacentral:lncRNA from 1 species